GAUGAACGCUGGCGGCGUGCCUAAUACAUGCAAGUCGAGCGAACGGACGAGAAGCUUGCUUCUCUGAUGUUAGCGGCGGACGGGUGAGUAACACGUGGAUAACCUACCUAUAAGACUGGGAUAACUUCGGGAAACCGGAGCUAAUACCGGAUAAUAUUUUGAACCGCAUGGUUCAAAAGUGAAAGACGGUCUUGCUGUCACUUAUAGAUGGAUCCGCGCUGCAUUAGCUAGUUGGUAAGGUAACGGCUUACCAAGGCAACGAUGCAUAGCCGACCUGAGAGGGGGAUCGGCCACACGGGAACUGAGAAACGGUCCAGACUCCUAAGGGAGGCAGGAGUAGGGAAUCUUCCGCAAUGGGCGAAAGCCUGACGGAGAAACGCCGCGGGAGUGAGGAAGGUCUGCGGAUCGUAAAACUCUGUUAUUAGGGAAGAACAUAUGUGUAAGUAACUGUGCCCCUCUUGACGGUACCUAAACAGAAAGCCCCGGCUAACUACGU
rnacentral:rRNA from 1 species